rnacentral:miRNA from 1 species
UGUGUGUGUGUGUGUGUGUGCU